rnacentral:lncRNA from 1 species
GGAAGAUUGAUAGGCUUCUGGGAUGCCUUCCAUGGAGCGGCUCGGGACAAAUUUGUGAAUGCAGCGGCCAAAAGAUCUGCAAUCCGUCAUGGGUUGAGUAGAGCUACCCAAUGCGCCAGCAGCAUAGGGAAAAUGCUGAGGAAAAUGUGACGGCAGGUGCCCACUCUUAAAGCAGCCACAAGUCUUUACUGAGGUCCUGCCGGGUCAGAUCCUAUGCUGGAUAUAAUAGGGAAGGCGUGCGUUUGAAAGGAUUUCUCAGCCGCAGACGCAAGCCACGCAUAGCGCUCGGUGAGAGACUGGUGUCCAGGAGCAUGGACCGAGGUGCAGUGGUGGGGCUGGACUUGAGAAUGACUUUCAACUGCCAGGAUCUGGUGACCAACCGGAUGUCAGGGACAGAGAGAAAGGCCCAGGUGGGGAAAACUCAAGGCUUCCAGUGUGGGAGGCUGCUCCACUCAGCUGGACCCCAAGGGUCCUGGGGAAAGGGCCUAUUUGACGGGCAGCAGAAUGAGCUGCUCAGAAAACAGGAAAGAGAAGACAUCAUUUCAGACCUGAGGCAGCGCCGACCUAUUUGGAAAGAAGAAAUACACAGAUGAAGCCCCUAAAAUCAUUUAAGUGAAAGGAAAAUAAAAUCUCAAGACCCAGUUCAUUCUGCCAAAGGGAAAAGCUAAGCUGGGACUGAGGCAUGCAAGCCUCUGCCUUUCCUUCUGCUCCAGAGCAAAUUGCUGCGGAAAGCAGGCCAGGGGUCUCCACAGGGAGCUGCUCUUAUGCUGACUUUAUCUUAUGCAAAGAUUUACUGAGCACAAGACAAAUACAUGAUGGAUGAUUCCUGUACCCGCUCCUUUCCAAUGCGAUGUGUGGACUCAGACAUAUGACCACACCCCCUCCCCUUCCCCUCCUGCCUGCUUUGCCCCUUUCAGUAUUAAAGCCCUCAAAAUCCUCUUUGGAAAAA